UUCCUCUUUGGCGUGGUGUGGUAUCUGGUAGCUGUGGCACAUGGGGACCUGCUGGAGCUGGACCCCCCGGCCAACCACACCCCCUGUGUGGUACAGGUGCACACACUCACUGGAGCCUUCCUCUUCUCCCUUGAAUCCCAAACCACCAUUGGCUAUGGCUUCCGCUACAUCAGUGAGGAAUGUCCACUGGCCAUUGUGCUUCUUAUUGCCCAGCUGGUGCUCACCACCAUCCUGGAAAUCUUCAUCACAGGUACCUUCCUGGCGAAGAUUGCCCGGCCCAAGAAGCGGGCUGAGACCAUUCGUUUCAGCCAGCAUGCAGUUGUGGCCUCCCACAAUGGCAAGCCCUGCCUCAUGAUCCGAGUUGCCAAUAUGCGCAAAAGCCUCCUCAUUGGCUGCCAGGUGACAGGAAAACUGCUUCAGACCCACCAAACCAAGGAAGGGGAGAACAUCCGGCUCAACCAGGCAGCCCAGAGAAGAUCUGUUUCCCUGUGUCCUGUGAAUGGAAGGACCCAAGCCAAUAUGUUCCUUUGAAAAGAGUCCAGUACCCAGGCCCCAUGGAAAGGUCUGAAAAUAAUAUUCCAGAUUACACUGUA
rnacentral:lncRNA from 1 species